CUAAUAGAGACUGGUAUGAACGGCUAAAUGAGGAUUAAACUGUCUCUUGUAAUCAACCUAUGAAACUGAUCUUGUAGUCCAAAAGCUACAAUAUAAACACUAGACGAGAAGACCCUGUGGAGCUUUAAAACCAAAGCCAAAUACAUGCCCCCUUGGUUUUUAGUUGGGGCAACUUCGGAGCAUAAACAAACCUCCGACAAACCACGAAUCAAGACAAACAAGUCAAAACCAACACUUGACCCAAUAGUCUAACCCAGACUAUUUGACCAAUGAACCAAGUUACCCCAGGGAUAACAGCGCUAUCCCCUUUUAGAGUCCCUAUCGACAAGGGGGCUUACGACCUCGAUGUUGGAUCAGGACACCCCAAUAAUGCAGCCGUUAUUAAAGGUUCGUUUGUUCAACGAUUAAA
rnacentral:rRNA from 1 species